GACGAACGCUGGCGGCGUGCUUAACACAUGCAAGUCGAACGGAAAGGCCCUGCUUUUGUGGGGUGCUCGAGUGGCGAACGGGUGAGUAACACGUGAGUAACCUGCCCUUGACUUUGGGAUAACUUCAGGAAACUGGGGCUAAUACCGGAUAGGAGCUCCUGCUGCAUGGUGGGGGUUGGAAAGUUUCGGCGGUUGGGGAUGGACUCGCGGCUUAUCAGCUUGUUGGUGGGGUAGUGGCUUACCAAGGCUUUGACGGGUAGCCGGCCGGAGGGGGUGACCGGCGCAAGGGGGACGGAGGUACGGCCGAGACGUGGGAGGGAGGCAGGAGGGGAGACGAUGGAACAGGGGGGGGGGGGGGGACGAAGCAACGCGGCGGGGGGGAUGACGGGCUGGGGGUGGUAAACCGCUGCCGGCGGGGAGGGGGCGUGAGGGAGGGUAAUGGGAAAAAAAGCACCGGCGAACUACCGGCAAGAAGCAGGGGUAAGAAUCGGAAGAGCACCCGUCUGAAC
rnacentral:rRNA from 1 species